rnacentral:rRNA from 1 species
UACGAAGGGGGCUAGCGUUGCUCGGAAUUACUGGGCGUAAAGCGCACGUAGGCGGCUCUUUAAGUCGGGGGUGAAAUCCUGGAGCUCAACUCCAGAACUGCCUUCGAUACUGCGGUGCUUGAGGACUGGAGAGGAGACUGGAAUUCAUGGUGUAGCAGUGAAAUGCGUAGGGAUCAUGAGGAAGACCAGUGGCGAAGGCGGGUCUCUGGACAGUUCCUGACACUGAGGCACGAAGGCCAGGGGAGCAAACGGG